GUGGGGAAUCUUCCGCAAUGGACGAAAGUCUGACGGAGCAACGCCGCGUGAGUGAAGAAGGUUUUCGGAUCGUAAAGCUCUUUCGUUAGGGACGAACGUGCUCUUUGUGAAUAAUGAGGAGUAAUGACGGUACCUAAAUAAGAAGCCACGGCUAACUACGUGCCAGCAGCCGCGGUAAUACGUAGGUGGCAAGCGUUGUCCGGAAUUAUUGGGCGUAAAGCGCGCGCAGGCGGGAUAUCAAGUCUGUCUUAAAAGUGCGAGGCUCAACCUCGUGAGGGGACAGAAACUGGUAUUCUUGAGUGUCGGAGAGGAAAGUGGAAUUCCAAGUGUAGCGGUGAAAUGCGUAGAGAUUUGGAAGAAUACCAGUGGCGAAGGCGACUUUCUGGACGAUGUCUGACGCUGAGGCGCGAAAGCUAGGGGAGCGAACGGGAUUAGAUACCCGUGUAGUCC
rnacentral:rRNA from 1 species